GAUGAAGAACGCAGCGAAAUGCGAUAAGUAAUGCGAAUUGCAGAAUCCGUGAGUCAUCGAGUCUUUGAACGCACAUUGCGCCCCCUGGUAUUCCGGGGGGCAUGCCUGUCCGAGCGUCAUUGCUGCCCUCAAGCCCGGCUUGUGUGUUGGGUCUCGUCCCCCUUCCCGGGGGGACGGGCCCGAAAGGCAGCGGCGGCACCGUGUCCGGUCCUCGAGCGUAUGGGGCUUUGUCACCCGCUCUGUAGGCCCGGCCGGCGCUUGCCGAUCAACCAAAACUUUUUUCCAGGUUGACCUCGGAUCAGGUAGGGAUACCCGCUGAACUUAAGCAUAUCAAUAAGCGGAAGA
rnacentral:misc_RNA from 1 species